UAGCUCAGUGGUAGAGCAUUUGCUUUGCAUGCAUGAGGCCCUGGGUUCGAUUCCUCAG
rnacentral:tRNA from 1 species